AGUUUGAGUCCUGGCUCAGGAUGAACGCUGGCGGCGUGCUUAACACAUGCAAGUCGAGCGAGAAAUCGGCAGAAGGAAGCUUCGGUAGAAUUCUGUGAUGGAAAGCGGCGGACGGGUGAGUAACGCGUGGGAAACCUGCCCUUGACAGGGGACAGCCGAGGGAAACUUCGAUUAAUACCCCAUAACGCAGAGAGACCGCAUGGUCAUUCUGCCAAAGAAUUAUCGGUCAGGGAUGGUCCCGCGUCUGAUUAGCUGGUUGGUGAGGCAGCGGCUCACCAAGGCGACGAUCAGUAGCCGGCCUGAGAGGGUGAACGGCCACAUUGGAACUGAGACACGGUCCAGACUCCUACGGGAGGCAGCAGUGGGGAAUAUUGCACAAUGGGCGCAAGCCUGAUGCAGCAACGCCGCGUGAAGGAGGAAGGCCUUCGGGUCGUAAACUUCUGUCCAAAGGGAAGAAGAAUGACGGUACCUUUGGAGGAAGCCCCGGCUAACUACGUGCC
rnacentral:rRNA from 1 species